UUGCUUGCUUUGGCAGCACAUGUACUAAAAUUAGAACAAUACACAGAAGAUUAGCAUGGCCCCUGCACAAGGAUGACACGCAAAUUUGUGAAAUGUUCCAUAUUUUU
rnacentral:snRNA from 1 species